GUUUGCUUCAUGAGCUACAGCGCAUGUGUCGAAGCCUCGGGUAUCAGAGGACCAUCACUACCUCUGACUGCUGUUGAUCUUGUUUUUGGAGUAAAACACGGUGGAAGCUGAAUUAGUGAGGAUGACUCCUGCUCCUGUCAUCUCUAAGCUCCUCACACAUCUUUACCUGCACAUGAGGAAAAUCACUCCUGUAGAAUGCAGAUGUUCAGAGGGAGAUGAUGCCACAUCUGGUCCAGCUGAUGGAAGGUCUUGAAGUUCUCUGACUGGCCUCGACUGAAGAUGGUCGUCUCACUGGAUUUAAGAUGCACAAUGAGGGACAUCUGCAGAGACUGAGAAAGAGUCUCACCACAUCCUGACAUGAGGAAAAAGACUUUAUUGAAGACUACAAUGAGAAAAACUAUCAGACAGCAGACAGCUGGAUUCAAGGUGAGCUCUGAACAUUUGAUCUGGAACAGGAAUUCAAUAACGGCAGCAUGAGCUUCAUUUCAGUCUGUAGCUGCUGAAUUCAUGGAUGAAUCAUCUGGCACUAGAGAAGAAGACCAUCAAACAUCCACGUCAGCUGAUGGAGAUCCAAGAGUCUCACCUAACAAACAACCUACAGAGUGAAGACCUCAAAUCUGAUUGGACGGCCUCCUAUUCAGCCACGUGUGUGAACAAAUGCCUCUCAGUUGAUUUGUUUUCUAAAAUAAAUCUAGUUGGAGUCCUAA